UACGUAUGGUGCAAGCGUUAUCCGGAUUUACUGGGUGUAAAGGGAGCGCAGGCGGUCUGGCAAGUCUGAUGUGAAAAUCCGGGGCUCAACUCCGGAACUGCAUUGGAAACUGUCAGACUAGAGUGUCGGAGAGGUAAGUGGAAUUCCUAGUGUAGCGGUGAAAUGCGUAGAUAUUAGGAGGAACACCAGUGGCGAAGGCGGCUUACUGGACGAUAACUGACGCUGAGGCUCGAAAGCGUGGGGAGCAAACAGG
rnacentral:rRNA from 1 species